rnacentral:rRNA from 1 species
AGAGUUGAUCCUGGCUCAGGAUGAACGCUAGCGACAGGCUUAACACAUGCAAGUCGAGGGGCAUCACGGGAGUAGCAAUACAACUGGUGGCGACCGGCGCACGGGUGAGUAACGCGUAUGCAACCUACCUAUCAGAGGGGAAUAACCCGGCGAAAGUCGGACUAAUACCGCAUAAAACAGGGGCACCGCAUGGUGAUAUUUGUUAAAGAAAUUCGCUGAUAGAUGGGCAUGCGUUCCAUUAGGUAGUUGGUGAGGUAACGGCUCACCAAGCCGACGAUGGAUAGGGGAACUGAGAGGUUGGUCCCCCACACUGGUACUGAGACACGGACCAGACUCCUACGGGAGGCAGCAGUGAGGAAUAUUGGUCAAUGGGCGGGAGCCUGAACCAGCCAAGUCGCGUGAAGGAAAGAAGGAUCUAUGGUUCGUAAACUUCUUUUGCAGGGGAAUAAAGUGCAGGACGUGUCCUGUUUUGUAUGUACCCUGAGAAUAAGGAUCGGCUAACUCCGUGCCAGCAGCUGC